GACCGCGUAGCUCAGCUGGAAGAGCAUUGGGCUAGUAUUCCAAAGGUCGUAGGUUCGAAUCCCACUGUGGCCG
rnacentral:tRNA from 1 species